rnacentral:rRNA from 1 species
AGUGAACGCUGGCGGUAGGCCUAACACAUGCAAGUCGAACGGCAGCACAGUAAGAGCUUGCUCUUACGGGUGGCGAGUGGCGGACGGGUGAGGAAUACAUCGGAAUCUAAUUUUUCGUGGGGGAUAACGUAGGGAAACUUACGCUAAUACCGCAUACGACCUACGGGUGAAAGCAGGGGAUCUUCGGACCUUGCGCGAUUGAAUGAGCCGAUGUCGGAUUAGCUAGUUGGCGGGGUAAAGGCCCACCAAGGCGACGAUCCGUAGCUGGUCUGAGAGGAUGAUCAGCCUCACUGUAACUGGGACACCGUUCACACUCCUACGGGAGGCCGCAGUGGGGAAUAUUGGAGCAUCGGGGGUAUCGUGAUCCACGCAUACCACGUGGGUGAAAUAGGGCUUCGGGUUGUAAAAGCCUUUUGUUGGGAAAGAAAAGCAUCAGGUUCGUACACCGCUGUUCUGACGGUACCCAAUGAAUAAGCACCGGCUAACUUCGUG